UUUUCGUUUUUUCGUGUUCAACGUUUGACCAUUCGUCUUAUUUAAAAAUUUUGUGCAAAAAUCAAAAAAAAUUAAUCACGUAUAAAGUACUAUUCAUAUUUUAUCAUCUAGUAAUAAUAAAAAUAUUAAUAAAAAAAUUUCAAAUAAGACGAAUGAUCUAAAAUUGAACACGGAAAA
rfam:Oryza brachyantha chromosome 4, whole genome shotgun sequence.